GGCCCCGACUUGAGUAACAACACGGCCCCCCGGAGUCGCCCUCAGGAGCCAGUUCCUUGCUACGUCUGGAGGCGGCAGGAGGCGCUGCUGGUCUCGGGCAGGUGGGCGCAGGUGCGCCCGCCCCGCACGAGGUGCUGCCCCCCGGGGCGCCUUUCCCCGCAGCUGCUGCCGGGCGCGGGCGGAUCAGGACGCGGGUGGGCCUCCUCCAGCGAGGAGUGGCCCCAGCGUCCAGGAGGGGCCCGAGGCGGCCGAGCCCAGACCCUGCGGGGGUCCCUGCCCCGUGGGAGGAGGACCGCCCAGCCCCGUGGUGGCCUUGCAGGAGUGAAGACCGCGUUCCCCUCGUGAAUUUUGUGAUCUGAUGGAUUCUGAGGGGAGCCCAGGAGCUUUGGAGAGGGUGACCUACCACACAAGACCAGCGUCUCUCUCCCCCAACUCCCCUGCUCUCAGAAGCUGGCUCUCUGGACUUCACCUCCACCUUCUAUUUGCGGCCGUUGCUCCUGGACUCCAGGUAGG